UUCGCAAUAAAGCAACGUUUAUUCCGUCUUAAGAACACAACUCGAUCGUUGGUUGAGUGGAAGCUUGAAAAAUUCAUUUAAAACGCGCGAUUAUCCGACGAGCAAAGCGGGCGCGACGAAAAAACGUUCACCGAAAGAUAAUCGUUACCGAAUCAAUGAACGGGAAAGUCAUUUAGCCCGGGAAUCCAGGCACGCGACCGCAUUCACCAGCGACAAUGAAGACAUCAACGAGAUAUAAGUUUAAUUGGUACUCUCGCCGGGCUUGCUCCAAUUACCAGACGAUGCUCUGUUCGUCUGCGGGUAGUGCAUAGUGUCCUAAAGCGGCGCAAACACAAUGCAUUCUUCUCCGUUUCGUUAAAAACCAAGGAGAACGCGAAGACGAGCCAACAAUCGAGUCGUCGAGCGAAGAAGCCUGGCGGGCACUUGCCAAGAAUCGACUGCCGCCAGGAAAGGCGAAGAACUCUUUUAAUUUGGCAGAAUGGCGAACGAGCGAAAAAAUGCGCAAGUACCUCGAUGAAAACGUAAAAGUGAUCUCCAACUGUGAUUAGUGGGACGAACAGAAUUUUCUGUAUACCAUAUUAAACGAACCUGGUGAUCACUUGGUCAAGUACUCACCUGUAACA